GAUCAUGGCUCAGAUUGAACGCUGGCGGCAUGCCUUACACAUGCAAGUCAAACGGUAACAGGUCUUCGGAUGCUGACGAGUGGCGAACGGGUGAGUAAUACAUCGGAACGUGCCCGAUCGUGGGGGAUAACGAAGCGAAAGCUUUGCUAAUACCGCAUAAGAUCCAAGGAUGAAAGCAGGGGACCGCAAGGCCUUGCGCGAACGGAGCGGCCGAUGGCAGAUUAGGUAGUUGGUGGG
rnacentral:rRNA from 1 species